ensembl:lncRNA
UUGUCAGUAUUAGUAUUUUAAAGUACCAUUUGUUGAAAAUCUAUUAUUUGCCAGGUACUGUAAUAUAAUUUAUCUUAAAACUCCAUGGAGAAGAGAUUGUUAUCAAACUGAGGUUUAUGAAGGAUUACGUCUCUUGCCCAAGGACAUAUAUGGCCUUCAACCUUUGGAUUUAAAACAGUGGCAGGGUAGAGAUUAAAAGCCAAGUCAAAGCCCACACUCUUUGCCACUACCCUGUACUCAUCUCGCGCACCUGCUAAUCCAAGGCUUGGUUUACAUGGACUCUGGAGCCAUUAGGAAUUAAAAGUUUAUUAGACACACAAAGUGAGAGCAUCUUUAUUUAUUUAUUUAUUUAUUUAUUUUUUCAGGGGAAGAUUUGCCCUAAGCUAGCAUCUGUUGUCAAUCUUCCUAAUUUUUUCUUUGUUUUUUUUUCCCCUAAAGUCCCCAGUACAUAGUUGUGUAUAGUUGUAAGUUCUUCUGGUUCUUCUAUGUGAGCCACCACCAUAGCAUGGCUACUGACAAAUGAGUCGUCUGCUUCUGUGCCCGGGAACUGAACCCAGGCUGCUGAAGUGGAGCAUGCUGAACUUGAACUGCUAGGACAUCAGGCUGGCUCUAGAGAGCAUCUUUAAAACUCAGGAAAACAGAACAGGUUUUUGAAAUGGAGAAUCCUUUAUUUGUAAUUAUUCCCUCCUUUAAUUCCAGUGGAGAAUUUAGAGCCCCAUUAUCUUCCUUUCAACUUUAACUGUUACAGGCAAAUAGAUUCAUUAAGUAAUUAAGUCCCAUUCUUCACCCAAGCCCUGCUCCCUGCCUUACCAGAAACAGGGCUGGUGGAGAACACAGGGGCGCCCACAGGAUUUGAGCCUCAUUCUAACUUUUCCCUUUUGUGCUCAGCUCACAGUAACUACCAGUUUUUGAAGUCCUUACUGUAUGCCAGCUGCUAUGCUAUGCUUUUUAUAUAGGGUAUUUCAUUUCAUUCUCACAACAACCUUAUGUCUAUGCAAAAUAACCAAUAACCAUUCUAUAGAUUAGAGAGAUAAGUUGAGUUUUACUUGAGUCAAGUUGAGGAUUAUAAGCUGGGAAGGCAGUUUCCACAAAGGAAGAAAAUGUUCCAGAGAAGCAGGGUUUGCAGUACAGUUUUAUAGCUUUUGAGAGCAAAGAACAUACAUUAAACAUGCCCAGGAUACAUACUCAUCAAAGUUUCAAAGAGAUAUUCAGUUACAAGUUAGCAGGUCAACCUGACCCUGAUGUCCAGGAAAGGGAACUUAUUUUCAGGAGUGCUGAUAUGGGUGUUACUGAUAGGGAAUUACUGAUACUGGUGAUACUGGCUGAUACUGGCAUUGUAGGAGGGGACCUACACAUUCUUGUAAGAGAAUGCAUUCUUUAACAGUUAAAGCAGAUGUACAAUGUGUGUUUGAUAGGCAGUAAGUCAAGCUUCUUUAGUUCAAGCCAAAUCAGUUUUGAACCAGAAUGGUUACCCCAUAUACUCAAUAUGUGAAAAUCUCAUGUGACUAAUGAAGUAGGUAUUGAUAUGACUCACAUCAAUGAAGUCUGAGAACAGAAAUUGAGCAGCUCCAGAACUAGAGCCCAGGUUGGUCAGACUCUAAAACUAAUCUCCACUCUACAUUCUAAAUUUUUCUUGAAUCAAUAAAUGAUUUCUCUUGCUCCUAUUUGGUAAUCCAAUUUCAAGAUUUCAAGACUCCAUCUCAAGAUGUCUACAGAUAAAGCCCAUCAGAUGGAGGCCACCAAGAAUACAUGAAGCUGGGUACCUGAGGGUUACUGUAAACAUUCGAUUCUUUUGACCUUGUUCCCAACACAGACAUAGAUGAAAAGAA